AAAUUGAAGAGUUUGAUCAUGGCUCAGAUUGAACGCUGGCGGCAGGCCUAACACAUGCAAGUCGAGCGGUAGCACAGAGAGCUUGCUCUCGGGUGACGAGCGGCGGACGGGUGAGUAAUGUCUGGGAAACUGCCUGAUGGAGGGGGAUAACUACUGGAAACGGUAGCUAAUACCGCAUAACGUCGCAAGACCAAAGUGGGGGACCUUCGGGCCUCA
rnacentral:rRNA from 1 species